AGUACUGGAGCUCUCGUCGGUUGACAAGCUUGGUUGAGAGUCCUGUUCCGUCUCGCCUAGGUGGGGUUCUAUCGCAUACUUACAGUUUACAGUAGACCACAUUGGACCUAUCGACAAACCGAUAAAGAUGGCGUUGUCUGGAAUAAAAGCAUCUCCAGAGGUGGUGAGAGAAAUGAUUGCUUUCAAAAUGAAUAAAAUUCCUGGGGAGUAUGUAGUGGUGAAAAUCAGUGAUGAUGGGAAAGAACUGGUUCUUGAUACAGAAUUCGAGGAACAACUAAAAGAACCAGGGGACUGAAUCUAGAUGAAUUCAAGAUAAAGGACAAGAUGAUGUACUCAUCAACUAUGAAUACACUUACUUCUGCAGCUGAGCUUGGCAGUGGGUUGAUAUUCAACAUUCAUGGAGCAAGUGACAUGGAUGAUUAUGAAGAUGUUUUAAAAAAGCUCUUAAAGUCUUAAACCUAAAGACAUAUAAGACAGAACUAAUUACAGCAUAUCAUUUUGUCCAGUGAAUAACCAUCCGUAAGGUUUUUGAAUUGAAAGUGAAUACCUGAUGCUAUUUUAUGUCCCUGCAGCAAAUUAGGGGAGGGGGGGUGCUCAUACUAGUAUCUCCCAGUUUUUUUGUCUGUCUAUGUUAAGAAGAUCUUUUCAAGAUAACCUCCUAGCUUAUUUAGAAGAACUUUAUACAUAUCAUAACGGACCACUGGAUUUUUGUAUCGGAGUAUUAUUUUUUAUUCAGAGCUUGUUUUAGGAAUGUACACCUCUGUACAUAUAUCAUUGUUCAUGUCUGUCUGUCUGGAGUCUCUUUGCAAAUUACUGACAUAGUUGGUAUCUUGAGAACAUUUCAAAAAGCUUUGUUUUAAAGCUGAACCACAUUAUCAUAAAAGUAAGUUUAAUAUUUUAUAAGACUUUGCUGGUCAUGGGUCAAGGCUUGCUGGUCAUGGGUCAAGGCUAAAGGAUAGAUAAAUAUGUUAUGACCCUUUUCUGGAAUUUAAAGCUUAUGUACUAGAUACAUGUAUUUGUAUUUGAGUGGCCAUUCAUAGCUUAAACAGAUCUGUUCUUGUUUCAUAUAUACUCCUUCCACAUUUAUGUCCCUUUAAGAAUUUAGUUCAUUCCUUGUUUUGACAACUCAUUGUCCAUCAUUUUCAUAUUUCAGACUUUUACUCAAAAAAAAAUCAAAAGAUUUGAUGAAAUUCUGCAGAAAAUUUCCUGGAAAAAGGUCAACCAAACUUGUAAAUUAUAUGGUCCCCUCCAUCCAGGGACCUGAGGGAUGGGGGAAAAAAUGGGAAAAAGUCUUCUUCCAAAAAAUUACAGGAAAAUGCCUAAUUACCCUCAUAUAUACAUUUUGCCUCCUGAUGUCCAUUCCUUCUUUUAUCAAUUUAUUGGAUCUUCUUGUGUCACAAGGAAACUACUUUCUAUAAAUAGCCCUGUGUAAAGGCUAUGCUUGAGAAAGUGAUGCAAUAAUAUUGAAAGCGAGGCAGCAGGAACGGCAUUGGUUUGGAUGAAAAUGUGUAUGCUUGACUGUGAACAUUAUCUUCAUUUCAACAGUGGCUUUAUCAAAGAUAUUUUCAGUAAAGUUUGAUUUUCAUUCUCUCAGCUGUUCUUGAGCUUUGAAAAAAGCCUCCUUUAAGUUCACAGUGUAGGUAUAUAUGAGAAAGUGAUACGGGACAGGGCAUAGCAUACAAGAAAGUAGACUCUCACUUACCUGUACCAAGUAUGUACUUCAUCAAGUUAGACUCUCACUUACCUGUACCAAGUAUGUACUUCAUCAAGUUAGACUCUCACUUACCUGUACCAAGUAUGUACUUCAUCAAGUUAGACUCUCACUUACCUGUACCAAGUACAUACUUCAUCAAGUUAGACUCUCACUUACCUGUACCAAGUAUGUACAUCAUCAAGUUAGACUCUCACUUACCUGUACCAAGUAUGUACAUCAUCAAGUUAGACUCUCACUUACCUGUACCAAGUACGUACUUCAUUAAGUUAGACUCUCACUUACCUGUACCAAGUACAUACUUCAUCAAGUAGGAUGAAAGACAGCUUCUCUAUUUCUUGUCUGAUGACAUUCCCACAUCCUUUCCUUCCAAAGAUACCUCGGGAAUACUGUCUGUGCCAUAUUUGUUGUUUUCUUUUUGUGGUAGACUCUAUUACUGUUUUGUUUCAAGCAUGUUUUCAUUUUUGCAGUUUAUUUUUGCAUCAGAAUAUCAGCUUUCAAACUCAUGGAGCCUUAAGUCAGGGCAACAUUUGUAUAUAACCUUAUACUGUCCUCUUGAGAAGUUCGAUCUGUCAGUGAUUUCCAUCUGUAUUUAUGUAAUUACACAUUUCUGACCCCAGCAUCACAUGAAAUUUAAUUGGAGAUAUAGACCAUCUUUAAUUUGCACUUUGUUCAUUUUUUUAAUGAUUUUUGAGUUUAAUCAGAAAGUGGUAAUUUGCUUCAUCGGUGACCACCUUAAAACUCUGAUGAUCAUUAUAAGACCUAUAGGCCCUUGUUUGUAUGUAAGAUAUGUAUACCAUGUAUUUCAGUUUCUUAAAAAGAUAGUUGCUGUGGUAACAAAAUCGGAGGUCUCUGGUCAAAACUGUUUGGUCCAUCUGUAACUGAUUUGAUGAGCUCUCUCAAACUUUAUAUGCAAGCAUAAUUAGGGAUGGCUUAUAAAACAACAAAAGCAGGUGGCUUUAAAAUCUGAAGUGAGAUACACUCUAAAUUGUGUUAAAUGACUACUCUGUAAAUGACGAAAUCACUAAUUGUAUGUUUGAAAUUUGCAACAGUGCAACCAAGAUCUGCUGAUGAGAAUUUGUCUAUUUUUAGUGAGAUUUUGGUGUAAAUUUUUUCAAAUUGCAUCAGUUUAAUAUUCUUACUUACCAGGUAUAUGUCAAUAUGUCAAACUUCCAACUCUACUAUUGGCAGCAAGAUCCUGCCUUGGUCAAAGACCUCAGAUGUACACGUUAUAGCAUCCUGUGUACGGUUAUAGUUGGACUUUCAUUUCUAAUUUAUAAUCCAAAUUAUAGCUUGCUACAAUUUUACCAUUUUAUCAUACUUACAUACAUGUAUCAUAUAUUGGUAUGAAAUAAUAAAAUAUUAAUAUCUUUCUGAAA